UGUCUUAGGACGGUAAGUUGGUGGUUGGAGACAUCCCUCUAGUGGUGUGGGGGCUGUGCUUUGGCAAAGUGGGUGGGGUUAUAUCCUGCCUGUUUGGCCCUGUCCGGGGGUAUCAUCGGAUGGGGCCACAGUGUCUUCUGAUCCCUCCUGUCUCAGCCUCCAGUAUUUAUGCUGCAGUAGUUUAUGUGUCGGGGGGCUAGGACCUAGGACCAUGCCUCAGGACUACCUGGUAUGAUGACUCCUUGCUGUCCCCAGUCCACCUGGCCGUGCUGCUGCUCCAGUUUCAACUGUUCUGCCUGCGGCUAUGGAACCCUGACCUGUUCACCGGACGUGCUUGUUGCACCCUCGACAACUACUAUGAUUAUUAUUAUUUGACCAUGCUGGUCAUUUAUGAACAUUUUAACAUUUUAACAUCUUGACCAUGUUCUGUUAUAAUAUCCACCCUGCACAGCCAGAAGAGGACUGGCCACCCCUCAUAGCCUGGUUCCUCUCUAGGUUUCUUCCUAGGUUUUUGGCCUUUCUAGGGAGUUUUUCCUAGGGAGUUUUUCCUAGCCACCGUGCUUCUUUCACAUGCUUUGCUUGCUGUUUGGGGUUUUAGGCUGGGUUUCUGUACAGCACUUUGAGAUAUCAGCUGAUGUACGAAGGGCUAUAUAAAAAUAAAUUUGAUUGAUUUGAUUGAUUGAACUUAACUAAACUGUAUCUACUAGCUCAAGGCUUUGGGAGUAAAAGGCAGUUGAAGCACAGGCCAGUCCAAGCUGCGAGAGUAGGCUGAUGCAAGUUUCCUUUCCAGUUUUUUCAUCAACCUGACUGAGCUGGAAUCUUUGGCUUAGUUAGUCACCUUGUGUGUGUGUGUGUGUGUGUGUGUGUGUGUGUGUGUGUGUGUGUGUGUGUGUGUGUGUGUGUGUGUGUGUGUGUGUGUGUGUGUGUGUGUGUGUGUGUGUGUGUGUGUGUGUGUGUAUAUAUGUUUGUGUGUGUGUGAGAGAGAGAUAAUAUGGAUAUUGCUGGCAGGAUCAAUGGCAUUCAGCGUUGACAGAAAAUAUAUCAAUUUAAAUGUUGUAAUUGAAUUUGGAAAUGUAAUAUUCCCAGGUUUUGAUGCAACACUCACAAUGCAAAUAGGAAUAAUUAGAGACGGUUCAUUUCUUGUCAUAUUCUUAUUUUCCUGUCAUAUUUUCUUUUGCAAGUCUUUCUCUAUUUUGUAGCUGAUUAUACAAUUAUCAAAAAAGAAAAGGACGUCAUAGUGUGAGUCAUUGUGUUAUAGGCAGCAUCAGAAUGACUAGGCACUUUAUUGCUGCCGGCUCAUGGUUGAUUUCUAUUACUAAUGUGCUACUAGAAGGUGUGGCUGUUUGCCUGCUAAGGAGCUUCUGGUACAGUCAUAAAAAACAUGCCAAGAUUAUUUUUUGUUGUUGAUAAUCCACUUAAGAUGGGGACUUAAAACAUAUAUACACUACCAUUCAAACGUUUGGGGUCACUUAGAAAUGUCCUUGUUUUUGAAAGAAAAGCACAUUUUUUGUCCAUUAAAAUAACAUCAAAUUGAUCAGAAAUACAGUGUAGACUGUUAAUGUUGUAAAGGACUACUGUAGCUGGAAACGGCAGGUUUUUUAUGGAAUAUCUACAUAGGCGUACAGAGGCCCAUAAUCAGCAGCCAUCACUCCUGUUGUUCCAAUAGAACGUUGUGUUAGCUAAUCCAAGUUUAUCAUUUUAAAAGGCUAAUUGGUCAUUAGAAAACCAUUUUGCAAUUAUGUUAGCAUAGCUGAAAACUGUUGUCCUGAUUUAAGAAGCAAUAAAAGCAUUUGUGGGUUUGAUUACAGGCUCAAAAUAGCCAGGAACAAAGACCUUUCUUCUGAAACCCGUCAGUCUAUUCUUGUUCUGAGAAAUGAAGGCUAUUCCAUGCGAGGAAUUGCCAAGAAACGGAAUAUCUCGUACAACGCUGUGUACUACUCCCUUCACAGAAGAGCACAAACUUGCUUUAACCAGAAUAGAAAGAGGAGUGUGAGGCCCUGGUGCACAACUGAGCAAGAGGAUAAGUACAUUAGGGUGUCUAAUUUGAGAAAAAGACGCCUCACAAGUCCUCAACUGGGAGCUUCAUUAAAUAGUACCCGCAAAACACCAGUCUCAAAGUCAACAGUGAAGAGGUGACUCUGGGAUGCUGGUCUUCUAGGCAGAGUUGCAAAGAAAAAGCCAUAUCUCAGACUGGCCAAUAAAAAAAAUUAAAAAAUUAAGAUGGGCAAAACAACACAG
rnacentral:lncRNA from 1 species